UUUAUCUAGCACUGAGUUUCUCUUUAAAAUCCCAUUAUUUGAGCUUCAGCAUAAUAAGGAGGCCACAAGAAUACAGAAUUGACAAAUAUUUCAAAAGUGGCAUAUUCAAAUUUACUGCACUGAUUGGAAGUCUGAAACCAAAUGAAAAGUAUACUAUUUCCAUACAUUUCUGUCCAAAAGAGGCCAUAACAUACCUAGCUGAUAUUGCUAUACGUUUAAAUGAUAAUUUAUUUGACUAUAGAGUAUUACAUCUGAUUGGAGAUAUACAAUUACCAAAGAUAUCUUUUGAUCCAUCAUUUAUAUGUUUUACUCCUGUACCUUUGGAUGUCACAACUGGGGUAGAUAUCAGAAUUUUGCCACAAAACUAUUUCAGUAAUUCAACUCUUCAGUUCAAUAUUCCCACCGCAAAGCUUCUUGAUGAUGAUGAAAUUCACCCGCUUACUGUGACAUUUCCAAGUGGCAGAGUCAUCAAAGGCUCUAGUACUGGAAUUAAUGAUGAGAUACCAUGUCAUCUUAGUUUCAGUUCAUUCAAAGCCUGUUUCAUUUUGCCAAUC